GUGAGGAAUAUUGGUCAAUGGGCGAGAGCCUGAACCAGCCAAGUCGCGUGAGGGAUGACUGCCCUAUGGGUUGUAAACCUCUUUUGUAUGGGGGGAAUAAGCUUUACGAGUAGAGUGAUGACAGUACCAUACGAAUAAGCAUCGGCUAACUCCGUGCCAGCAGCCGCGGUAAUACGGAGGAUGCGAGCGUUAUCCGGAUUUAUUGGGUUUAAAGGGUGCGUAGGCGGCAUUAUAAGUUAGUGGUAAAAUAUUGGGGCUUCACCUCACUACGCCAUUAAUACUGUAGAGCUAGAGAACAGACGAGGUAGGCGGAAUAAGUUAAGUAGCGGUGAAAUGCAUAGAUAUAACUUAGAACACCGAUAGCGAAGGCAGCUUACCAGACUGAGUCUGACGCUGAUGCACGAGAGCAUGGGUAGCGAACAGGAUUAGAUACCCCUGUAGUCC
rnacentral:rRNA from 1 species